rnacentral:lncRNA from 1 species
AGCUGUCCAAUGGCUCCUGGAGCCAGAGAGAUGGCACCCAGCAUGCUGCAGUCUAGCCUCUCCCACUGACCACCUGAGCCUGCUGAAGCUGGCUUAUAUAAGGCUUUGGAAAGAGAAAGGGCUUUGGUGACUCUCUGGAAAUCAGGAAAAACUGUUCCAAGAUGUGUGUUAGAGAAGGUCAGGAUCUCGUGUUUAAUAAGCAGUUUUAGGCCUGACUUCUCUAAGGACAGUGUGUAUGGGCCUGUUUUCCCCCAGUACAUAGGGUCAGAGUCCUGCCAGCAAUAGCCAAAACAUGGUAGAAUCAGUCAAGAGAUCUAACAAAAGUGCUCUUGGAGGAAGAACUUCAGAGAAAGAAGCAAAUUUUAUGCUGAGAAAUCAUGAUUCCACACUCUGGAGUGAGAACUCUAGAUAGUUUACUCUGUGGUCACUUACUCGUAUUUCUACAUAGAUGGAAGGUCUCGGCCCUGGAGUUCUGGUCUACCUUUCUGCUCCUUUUUCUCCAAGGAACAGACCAGCUUCCGCAGGAAUGAACCCAGAAAACAGUCUACAACUAUAUUUCCAGCACAGGGGCUGGCACACACUGAGUGCUGAACUGAACUGAACAGAUGCUGUAAGCAAGAAAGAGUCAAAUUUUGCAAGAUUUUACUGAGGAGGAAGGCACUACCUCAAAGCCAGGUACUCUGCUCAGUGUGGGGACUCUAGGAGUGACAUAGACACAGAUGUUUCU